rnacentral:rRNA from 1 species
GCCGGAGGUUACGCAGUAAGUACCACGCCUGGGGAGUACGGUCGCAAGACUGAAACUCGAAGGAACUGACGGGGGCCCGCACAAACGGUGGAGCAUCUGGUUAAAUUCGACGCAACGCGCAGAACCUUACCCAGGUAUUGACAAGCACCGGCACUGCGAGGAGAGUCGCUGGCCCGUUUGAGGUCGGUGCACAGAGUACUGCAUGCCGGUGGUCAGUCUCGCGUCGUGAGAUGUUGGAGAAGUCCCGACACGAGCGCAAUCCUUAUCCGUAGUUGCUCACAGUUGAUGAUGGGGAUUCUACGGGCAAUAUUGGUGUGAAACCGGUGGAAGAUGAGUAUGACGUCAAGUCCUCUUGCCCCUUACGCGUCGGGGUACACACAGUGCUAUAAUGGUGCGGACAACGGGGGCGACACUGCGAGGGGGACGUAUCCGUGACCGCGGUCUCAGUUCGGAUUGGAGUCUGCCAUUGGACUCCAUGAAGACGAUUCGUUAGUAAUCACGGAUCAGCAUCACCCGGUGUAUACGUUCCCGGGCUUUGUACACACCGCCCUUCACACCACUAAACCUGAUAAUAUCCCCAACUCACCGGGCCUACUCGCA